rnacentral:rRNA from 1 species
GAACGCUAGCUACAGGCUUAACACAUGCAAGUCGAGGGGCAGCAUUUUAGUUUGCUUGCAAACUGAAGAUGGCGACCGGCGCACGGGUGAGUAACACGUAUCCAACCUGCCGAUAACUCCGGAAUAGCCUUUCGAAAGAAAGAUUAAUACCGGAUAGCAUACGAAUAUCGCAUGAUAUUUUUAUUAAAGAAUUUCGGUUAUCGAUGGGGAUGCGUUCCAUUAGUUUGUUGGCGGGGUAACGGCCCACCAAGACAACGAUGGAUAGGGGUUCUGAGAGGAAGGUCCCCCACAUUGGAACUGAGACACGGUCCAAACUCCUACGGGAGGCAGCAGUGAGGAAUAUUGGUCAAUGGGCGAGAGCCUGAACCAGCCAAGUAGCGUGAAGGAUGAAGGCUCUAUGGGUCGUAAACUUCUUUUAUAUGGGAAUAAAGUUUUCCACGUGUGGAAUUUUGUAUGUACCAUAUGAAUAAGGAUCGGCUAACUCCGUGCCAGCAGCCGCGGUAAUACGGAGGAUCCGAGCGUUAUCCGGAUUUAUUGGGUUUAAAGGGAGCGUAGGUGGAUUGUUAAGUCAGUUGUGAAAGUUUGCGGCUCAACCGUAAAAUUGCAGUUGAAACUGGCAGUCUUGAGUACAGUAGAGGUGGGCGGAAUUCGUGGUGUAGCGGUGAAAUGCUUAGAUAUCACGAAGAACUCCGAUUGCGAAGGCAGCUCACUAGACUGUCACUGACACUGAUGCUCGAAAGUGUGGGUAUCAAACAGGAUUAGAUACCCUGGUAGUCCACACAGUAAACGAUGAAUACUCGCUGUUUGCGAUAUACAGUAAGCGGCCAAGCGAAAGCAUUAAGUAUUCCACCUGGGGAGUACGCCGGCAACGGUGAAACUCAAAGGAAUUGACGGGGGCCCGCACAAGCGGAGGAACAUGUGGUUUAAUUCGAUGAUACGCGAGGAACCUUACCCGGGCUUAAAUUGCAACAGAAUAUAUUGGAAACAGUAUAGCCGUAAGGCUGUUGUGAAGGUGCUGCAUGGUUGUCGUCAGCUCGUGCCGUGAGGUGUCGGCUUAAGUGCCAUAACGAGCGCAACCCUUAUCUUUAGUUACUAACAGGUGAUGCUGAGGACUCUAGAGAGACUGCCGUCGUAAGAUGUGAGGAAGGUGGGGAUGACGUCAAAUCAGCACGGCCCUUACGUCCGGGGCUACACACGUGUUACAAUGGGGGGUACAGAAGGCGGCUACCUGGUGACAGGAUGCUAAUCCCAAAAACCUCUCUCAGUUCGGAUCGAAGUCUGCAACCCGACUUCGUGAAGCUGGAUUCGCUAGUAAUCGCGCAUCAGCCAUGGCGCGGUGAAUACGUUCCCGGGCCUUGUACACACCGCCCGUCAAGCCAUGAAAGCCGGGGGUACCUGAAGUACGUAACCGCAAGGAGCGUCCUAGGGUAAAACUGGUAAUUGGGGCUA